GUUAACGUUACUUACUGUGGUGUAGCAGUUCGUGGGUUCGCACCAGUUCGCUGAGCUGAUUACUCCAAAAGCGAUGACAAGCACCGGUGGGCGUUCACGGUUGGUGUACCUCCUCGAGGUGUCCAUGGAAGAUGUAGGGGGUACGGUCGGUUGGGGGACCUCUGCAAGGUCCACCCUGAAAGCGGCAGAAGGGUGAGGCGUGCGGACGCCAAGGAAAGUGAAGAGAACGGUAAUGGAACCACUGGUUUUUGGUCUUACACACAAAAAAAAAAAGGAUGUGAGCGACAUCUACCUUUCUGUCUUCAGACCCCUCUGGGGGUGGGGGACCACCCACUGUCCGAACCCGUGGUAUCCGCACGCUUCUAGCGACCGUACCCCCUACAUCUUCCAUGGACACCUCGAGGAGGUACACCAACCGUGAACGCCCACCGGUGCUUGUCAUCGCUUUUGGAGUAAUCAGCUCAGCGAACUGGUGCGAACCCACGAACUGCUACACCACAUCUUCAGGUAUAAUGAAUGGAUGAAGUGUGCUGAGCUGCAGCAGGCAUGCAGGGGAACUGGAGGGAAGACGAUGACAGUAAGACUUCUUCUGCAGUAAAUGUCCACACAGAACAUGAAACCAGCAAGCUGGGCAAUAAGCUGGUACAUACAUACACAUACAUGCACACAUGCUCCGUGGGUCCUUCGGCAAGGUCCUUUAUGCUAUUUGCCCAGUGAGGUACAUCAUGAAAGCUACGGCCAGGACGCCAGGGUCAGGGGAGAUAGCAUCCUCCCCACAGUCGGAGAUGAAGAUGGAGAAGGUUGAAGAAGAAGAAGACUGGCUAUAAGACACUGACUAGGGCUAAGAUAAAGAUAGACGCUGUGGCUUCGUGAUGGUGUCCUCCACAAACCAGCAAGCUGAAGACACGGUAGAAGAGAGAAAGGAGUGAUGAAGAAAGCAGAGGGUUACCUGUGGUAAAGAUCCUGAUCCUCCAAAUGGCCAAAAACCAGGCAUCCACAGCUCUGGGGUUCUUCCAUGAAGCUGCAAAGAAACCUGACUUUCCCUUCAGCCAGGCUGCUAGAGCCACAGCUGUGGAAAAUGGGAUGACUCCCUCAUGAGCACAUUGAGGGGGACCAUUUUCCCAGAUGUGGAUCAUGCUGGAGUACAGUGAAGAACCAAGAGAGCGGAACAAGACAGAUUUAU